rnacentral:rRNA from 2 species
AUAAAGAAAGGAGAGAAGGGCACAUGAAGGAUGCCUGGGCUCUCGGAGGCGACGAAGGACGUGAUAAGCUGCGAUAAGCUGCGGGUAGGAGCAAAUAUCCCUUGAUCCGCAGAUUUCCGAAUGGGGCAACCCACUGCCCGAACAGGCAGUAUCUUCCGAAUGGAAGAGGCGAACUUGGGGAACUGAAACAUCUCAGUACCCAAAGGAAAAGAAAAUAACCCAAUGAUUGCGCCAGUAGUGGCGAGCGAACGCGCAAGAGCCCAAACCGGCGGUGUUCAGGCACUGACCGGGGUUGUAGGACCGUCAGCAAAUGGACAGUCAGAAGUUAGCCGAAGCCUCUGGAAAGGGGCGCCGCAGCGGGUGACAGCCCCGUAGGCGAAAACAGACGACUGACAGAGACGGCACCUGAGUAAGCCGGGACACGAGAAAUCCUGGCCGAAUCCGCGGGGACCAUCCCGUAAGGCUAAAUACUACCGAGAGACCGAUAGCGAACCAGUACCGUGAGGGAAAGGUGAAAAGAACCUCGAACAGAGGAGUGAAACAGACCCUGAAAUCAUGUGCCUACAAGCGGUCGGAGCUGCUUCGUGCAGUGACGGCGUGCCUUUUGCAUAAUGAACCUACGAGUUACCGUCGUUGGCGAGGCUAAGUCCACUGAUGGACGGAGCCGAAGCGAAAGCGAGUCAGAAUAUGGCGCAAUCUAGUCAGCGGCGGUAGACGCGAAACCAAGUGAUCUACCCUUGGGCAGGUUGAAGGUGGGGUAACACCCACUGGAGGACCGAACCGGUAAGCGUUGAAAAGCUUUCGGAUGACCUGAGGGUAGGAGUGAAAGGCCAAUCAAACUUGGAGAUAGCUCGUACUCCCCGAAAUGCAUUUAGGUGCAGCCUCGGGCGCAGUACCGUGGAGGUAGAGCGACUGAUAGGAUGCGAGGGCUUCACCGCCUAUCAAGUCCUGACAAACUCCGAAUGCCACGGCACGAUCCCCGGGAGUGAGGGCGCGGGUGCUAAGGUCCGCGUCCGAGAGAGGAACAACUCAGACCACCGUCUAAGGCCCCCAAAUCCGGGCUAAGUUGAAGACAAUAACGAGGUGGGAUUGCAAGGACAGCUAGGAUGUUGGCUUGGAAGCAGCCAUUCAUUUAAAGAGUGCGUAACAGCUCACUAGUCGAGUGAUCCCGCAUGGAUAAUAAUCGGGCAUAAGUCCGGUGCCGAAGACGUGGAAU